ACCUACGGGGCGCAGCAGUGGGGAAUAUUGCACAAUGGGGGAAACCCUGAUGCAGCAACGCCGCGUGAGUGAUGACGGCCUUCGGGUUGUAAAGCUCUGUCUUCAGGGACGAUAAUGACGGUACCUGAGGAGGAAGCCACGGCUAACUACGUGCCAGCAGCCGCGGUAAUACGUAGGUGGCAAGCGUUGUCCGGAUUUACUGGGCGUAAAGGGAGCGUAGGCGGACUUUUAAGUGGGAUGUGAAAUACCCGGGCUUAACCUGGGUGCUGCAUUCCAAACUGGGAGUCUAGAGUGCAGGAGGGGAAAGUGGAAUUCCUAGUGUAGCGGUGAAAUGCGUAGAGAUUAGGAAGAACACCGGUGGCGAAGGCGACUUUCUGGACUGUAACUGACGCUGAGGCUCGAAAGCGUGGGGAGCGAACAGGAUUAGAUACCCCGGUAGC
rnacentral:rRNA from 1 species